CACACUGGACUGAGACACGGUCCAGACUCCUACGGGAGGCAGCAGUGGGGAAUAUUGCACAAUGGGCGCAAGCCUGAUGCAGCCAUGCCGCGUGUGUGAAGAAGGCCUUCGGGUUGUAAAGCACUUUCAGUCGUGAGGAAGGUAGUGUAGUUAAUAGCUGCAUUAUUUGACGUUAGCGACAGAAGAAGCACCGGCUAACUCCGUGCCAGCAGCCGCGGUAAUACGGAGGGUGCGAGCGUUAAUCGGAAUUACUGGGCGUAAAGCGCAUGCAGGUGGUUUGUUAAGUCAGAUGUGAAAGCCCGGGGCUCAACCUCGGAAUUGCAUUUGAAACUGGCAGACUAGAGUACUGUAGAGGGGGGUAGAAUUUCAGGUGUAGCGGUGAAAUGCGUAGAGAUCUGAAGGAAUACCGGUGGCGAAGGCGGCCCCCUGGACAGAUACUGACACUCAGAUGCGAAAGCGUGGGGAGCAAACAGGAUUAGAUACCCUGGUAGUCCACGCCGUAAACGAUGUCUACUUGGAGGUUGUGGCCUUGAGCCGUGGCUUUCGGAGCUAACGCGUUAAGUAGACCGCCUGGGGAGUACGGUCGCAAGAUUAAAACUCAAAUGAAUUGACGGGGGCCCGCACAAGCGGUGGAGCAUGUGGUUUAAUUCGAUGCAACGCGAAGAACCUUACCUACUCUUGACAUCCAGAGAACUUUCCAGAGAUGGAUUGGUGCCUUCGGGAACUCUGAGACAGGUGCUGCAUGGCUGUCGU
rnacentral:rRNA from 1 species